rnacentral:rRNA from 1 species
UCCGACGGGGGCUAGCGUUGCUCGGAAUCACUGGGCGUAAAGGGUGCGUAGGCGGGUCUUUAAGUCAGGGGGGAAAUCCUGGAGCUCAACUCCAGAACUGCCUUUGAUACUGAGGAUCUUGAGUUCGGGAGAGGUGAGUGGAACUGCGAGUGUAGAGGUGAAAUUCGUAGAUAUUCGCAAGAACACCAGUGGCGAAGGCGGCUCACUGGCCCGAUACUGACGCUGAGGCACGAAAGCGUGGGGAGCAAACAGG